CAGAGGUCCCAAGCGUUGUUCGGAUUCACUGGGCUAAAGGGUGCGUAGGUGGUAGGGUAAGUCUGGUGUGAAAUCUCCGAGCUCAACUCGGAAAUGGCAUUGGAUACUAUUCUGCUAGAGGAUUGAGGGGGGACUGGAAUACUUGGUGUAGCAGUGAAAUGCGUAGAUAUCAAGUGGAACACCAGUGGCGAAGGCGAGUCCCUGGACAACUCCUGACACUGAGGCACGAAAGCUAGGGGAGCAAACAGGAUUAGAUACCCUGGUAGUCCUAGCCGUAAACGGUGCAUAUUUGCUGUAAAAGGAAUCGACCCCUUUUGUGGCGUAGCCAACGCGAUAAAUAUGCCGCCUGGGAAGUACGGUCGCAAGAUUA
rnacentral:rRNA from 1 species